GUAUCAAUAAGCGGAGGAAAAGAAACCAACAGGGAUUGCCCUAGUAACGGCGAGUGAAGCGGCAACAGCUCAAAUUUGAAAUCUGGCUCUUUUAGAGUCCGAGUUGUAAUUUGCAGAGGGCGCUUUGGCUUUGGCAGCGGUCCAAGUUCCUUGGAACAGGACGUCACAGAGGGUGAGAAUCCCGUACGUGGUCGCUGGCUAUUGCCGUGUAAAGCCCCUUCGACGAGUCGAGUUGUUUGGGAAUGCAGCUCUAAAUGGGAGGUACAUUUCUUCUAAAGCUAAAUAUUGGCCAGAGACCGAUAGCGCACAAGUA
rnacentral:rRNA from 1 species